CGGCAUCUGGAAGAAAAAAGGAUGCAAGAAAGACAGCAUAUGAGAGCUGUGAAGACUAUGGAUGAACUGAGGGAAAGACAAGGCCUCAAAGAUACAAAAGCUCCUCCAGCACUGGCUGUAAGACAUGACGUUUCUGGAUUCUCCUUCCUUUGUGUUCAUGGAGUGUGGAGGGACACGAGCAGCAGGUAUCGGCGGUGGCUCAGACGCACUGAAGGAUAUCAUAGAGAGAGUGACAUCGGACAGCCUGGGUCUUCAUGGCCACGCUUGACUGGAUCCUCCAAAGGGCCUCUCCUCUGUCCACUUCACUUUCUGUCCCCUCCGCUGCGGGCCUCAGGGGCCUCGGGGACCUCCAGGGAAGGGGUGGACAGACAGACGUAGACAUUUGUGAGUGUGUGUGUGUGUGUGUCUGUGUGAAAGUCUAGCUCAGAGCGCAGGGCGUCUGGCAGGGCUGCAGUCUGUGUCGCAUUCUGACAGAACAAGUGUUGCAUGAGAUGCGGCGAGUUGUCUCAGUGAGCCUGGAGCAGGUGUUGCUCAUCGGCGACUGCACUGGAGCGAAGACCCUUGUGCAUAAGACAACCACAGCCAAACGCCCAGGCCAGGACAGUUCACACACACCCACACACACACUAAUGAUAAUGGAUUCGGGGUGGAUAGGCAGCCAGAUUCUAAUGGAUCAGAAGACAGCAGCACACUGGGACUGUUUCAGCUGCUGGGCAGGAC
ensembl:lncRNA